rnacentral:rRNA from 1 species
GACGAACGCUGGCGGCGUGCUUAACACAUGCAAGUCGAACGGAAAGGCCCUGCUUUUGUGGGGUGCUCGAGUGGCGAACGGGUGAGUAACACGUGAGUAACCUGCCCUUGACUUUGGGAUAACUUCAGGAAACUGGGGCUAAUACCGGAUAGGAGCUCCUGCUGCAUGGUGGGGGUUGGAAAGUUUCGGCGGUUGGGGAUGGACUAGCGGCUUAUCAGCUUGUUGGUGGGGUAGUGGCUUACCAAGGCUUUGACGGGUAGCCGGCCUGAGAGGGUGACCGGCCACAAUGGGACUGAGAGACGGCCCAGACGCCUACGUGAGGCAGCAGUGGAGAAUAUUGCACAAUGAGCGGGAGCGUGAGACAGCAGCGCCGCGUGCGGGAUGCCGGCCUUCGGGUUAUGAACCGCUUUCGCCUGAGACGAAGCGUGAGUGACGGUAAUGGGUAAAGAAGCACCGGCUAACUACGUG